rnacentral:rRNA from 1 species
CAGCCGCCCGGUAAUACGUAGGGUGCAAGCGUUGUCCGGAAUUAUUGGGCGUAAAGAGCUCGUAGGCGGUUUGUCGCGUCUGCUGUGAAAUCCCGAGGCUCAACCUCGGGCUUGCAGUGGGUACGGGCAGACUAGAGUGCGGUAGGGGAGAUUGGAAUUCCUGGUGUAGCGGUGGAAUGCGCAGAUAUCAGGAGGAACACCGAUGGCGAAGGCAGAUCUCUGGGCCGUAACUGACGCUGAGGAGCGAAAGCGUGGGGAGCGAACAGGAUUAGAUACCCCAGUAGUCCCUGUCUCUUAUACA